CAGCAGCCGCGGGAAUACGUAGGUGGCAAGCGUUGUCCGGAAUUAUUGGGCGUAAAGGGCACGCAGGCGGUUUCUUAAGUCUGAUGUGAAAGCCCCCGGCUCAACCGGGGAGGGUCAUUGGAAACUGGGAAACUUGAGUGCAGAAGAGGAGAGUGGAAUUCCACGUGUAGCGGUGAAAUGCGUAGAGAUGUGGAGGAACACCAGUGGCGAAGGCGACUCUCUGGUCUGUAACUGACGCUGAGGAGCGAAAGCGUGGGGAGCGAACAGGAUUAGAUACCCGAGUAGUCCCUGUCUCUUAUAC
rnacentral:rRNA from 1 species